AGGGUUGAAGCAGAGGCAUUUAUUCCAUCUUGUUAGGUGAAAGAUGGAUGUUUAUUUUGUCCAACUGGUAUUAAUGCAAUGAAAGCUGCCUAUAAUCAUUUUCCAAUUGAUGAUUCCUGCAACAAGCUAAGACUUAAAAGAGUUAAAGUAACUGGAGAUAAAGAAGUAUGCGAAGGAUUUAAUUUCCCAACUACAGAGUACUCCAAAGAAUAUUCUGUAUCUCAAUGAUAUCCUGACCUAUCGAUACGAUAUCCUGUAAAUCCACUCACACACAUAAAUCUUUAAAAAAAUG